ACGCAUGACUACGAAGUCAAAAUGCGCAAUGUUUUCAAGUUUCUGGAAAACGGUGACAAGGUCAAAGUGACCCUUCGUUUCCGGGGGCGCGAGAUGGCGCACCAGAACCUCGGCCGCGAGCUGCUUGAACGCGUUGCCGAAGACGUGAAGGAAAUCGGCAAGGUUGAAAACAUGCCGAAGAUGGAAGGCCGGCAGAUGGUCAUGAUGAUCGGACCCGUCGCCAAAUAGCCUUUACAGGAUACUUAAUUCUUGAAAGCGACCCAGCCGGGUCGCUUUCUUUUUGCCUAGCCCUUUUUCACCGGGA
rnacentral:misc_RNA from 1 species